GGGCCCAUAGCUCAGUUGGCUAGAGCGCAUGCAUGGCAUGCAUGAGGUCGCGGGUUCGAAUCCCGCUGGGUCCA
rnacentral:tRNA from 1 species